ACGGUGGGAAAACAUUUAAACGCAGAAGAAAAUUUUGCAUUAGCUGCAUAAGCUACGUCCCUCAUACUUGUGCCUACCAAGUGUGAAUGGACGUCAAACAGUAGGCUGGUCUAAUUUAGUUGUUCAUAUGAAUUAGGCGAGACAAUAUGAACUGGGGUUGUGUAGCUUGUCUGUGAGCGAUAGCAACCUGAGACUUAAAUCAUAGACUGUGCUCGGAGAAGUCUAUAUGGCAACACUUUUGGACAGGGGUUCGACUCCCCUCAUCUCCACCA
rnacentral:tmRNA from 1 species